rnacentral:rRNA from 1 species
CCUACGGGUGGCUGCAGUGAGGAAUAUUGGUCAAUGGGAGGAAUCCUGAACCAGCCAUGCCGCGUGCAGGACGACGGCUCUACGAGUUGUAAACUGCUUUUGUACCGGGGUAAAAUGCUUUACGUGUAGGGUUUUGUAAGUACGGUACGAAUAAGGAUCGGCUAACUCCGUGCCAGCAGCCGCGGUAAUACGGAGGAUCCGAGCGUUAUCCGGAUUCAUUGGGUUUAAAGGGUGCGUAGGUUGUUUUAUAAGUUAGCGGUGAAAUACCGAUGCUCAACAUCGGGGCUGCAGCUAAUACUGGAGGACUAGAGAUCGGUAGCGGCAGGCGGAAUGUGUGGUGUAGCGGUGAAAUGCAUAGAUAUUACAAAGAACACCGAUUGCGAAGGCAGCUUGCUAGGCCGGAUCUGACACUGAGGCACGAAAGCGUGGGGAUCGAACAGGAUUAGAUACCCGAGUAGUC